UACGGGGGGAGCAAGCGUUGUUCGGAUUUACUGGGCGUAAAGCGCACGUAGGCGGAUUUGUAAGUCAGGGGUGAAAUCCCGAGGCUCAACCUCGGAACUGCCUUUGAUACUGCAAAUCUCGAGUCCGGAAGAGGUGAGUGGAAUUCCUAGUGUAGAGGUGAAAUUCGUAGAUAUUAGGAAGAACACCAGUGGCGAAGGCGGCUCACUGGUCCGGUACUGACGCUGAGGUGGCGAAAGCGUGGGGAGCAAACAGG
rnacentral:rRNA from 1 species